rnacentral:rRNA from 1 species
ACGUAGGUGGCAAGCGUUGUCCGGAAUUACUGGGUGUAAAGGGAGCGUAGGCGGGGAGGCAAGUUGAAUGUUUAAACUAUCGGCUCAACUGAUAGUCGCGUUCAAAACUGCCACUCUUGAGUGCAGUAGAGGUAGGCGGAAUUCCUAGUGUAGCGGUGAAAUGCGUAGAUAUUAGGAGGAACACCAGUGGCGAAGGCGGCCUACUGGGCUGUAACUGACGCUGAGGCUCGAAAGCGUGGGUAGCAAACAG